rnacentral:rRNA from 1 species
UACGAAGGGUGCAAACGUUGCUCGGAAUUAUUGGGCGUAAAGCGCACGUAGGCGGCUUGGCAAGUCGGAUGUGAAAUCCCCCGGCUCAACCGGGGAAGUGCAUCCGAAACUGGCGGGCUAGAGUACGAAAGAGGGUCGCGGAAUUCCCGGUGUAGAGGUGAAAUUCGUAGAUAUCGGGAGGAACACCGGUGGCGAAGGCGGCGACCUGGGUCGAUACUGACGCUGAGGAGCGAAAGCGUGGGGAGCGAACAGG